rnacentral:rRNA from 1 species
CGAACGGUAACAGGAAGAAGCUUGCUUUCUUUGCUGACGAGCGGCGGACGGGUGAGUAAUGCCUGGGAAAUUGCCCUGAUGUGGGGGAUAACCAUUGGAAACGAUGGCUAAUACCGCAUGAUGCCUACGGGCCAAAGAGGGGGACCUUCGGGCUUCUCGCGUCAGCCCAUGCCCAGGUGGGAUUAGCUAGUUGCUGAGGUAAUGGCCCACCAAGGCGACGAUCCCUAGCUGGUCUGAGAGGAUGAUCAGCCACACUGGAACUGAGACACGGUCCAGACUCCUACGGGAGGCAGCAGUGGGGAAUAUUGCACAAUGGGCGCAAGCCUGAUGCAGCCAUGCCGCGUGUAUGAAGAAGGCCUGCGGGUUGUAAAGUACUUUCAGUUGUGAGGAAGGGGGUAUCGUUAAUAGCGGUAUUCUGUGACGUUAGCGACAGUAGAAGCACCGGCUAACUCCGUGCCAGCAGCCGCGGUAAUACGGAGGGUGCGAGCGUUAAUCGGAAUUACUGGGCGUAAAGCGCAUGCAGGCGGUCUGUCAAGUCAG